UUAAAAAAAAUAUUUUUAAAACGAUCAAGUUUGAAGUCUAUAGGUUAAGAACCCCUGAUCUAGUCCAGUAUCUUCCUUCUGCUCUUAAUUUACAGAAGAUGACGUAACUGAGAUUCAGAGAGGUCAUGUUACUGUUUAAGGUCACCUAAAGACAUCAGUUGAAGAGCUGGGUUUUAAACCAGCUCUUCUGACUUCAAAUCUAUUGCUUUUUUCCACUGCACGACUUACACUGUUCCCAAGCAAUAUGUAAGCUAAGAGUUUGACAUGGGUGCCAUUAUAUGACUGCCAUCUGAAUAGAAACAGUGUCUGGAAAGAGGGUAGGAACCCCGAUAUGCUGUCCUCUUGUCAGAGCACUUUUGAGAGAGCAUUGUGCUUACCCUACAGGCACCAAAGCCAGAUUCUGAGGGACCACUGGAGCAAAGAGCAGAGGGUAAAGAAAUGGUAGUGGAAAGGGAAGCACAGAGGGUGCAAAGAGUCGCUGUUUUUUAGAUAAUUUGUAAGCCUUGACUUAAGGGUUGGUACUUGAAAUAUGAGGUCUUGGACCACGGACCAAGGAAUGAAUAGACUCUUGGAAGUACUGAACCACCUCAACAUUGAUGCACUUAACAUUGAAGAAAACCAGGAGACAAAAGGAUUUAGCAGCCAGAUGGAAGGACAGCUUAAUGGUUCACCUUGAAGAAGCACAGAGAUGGUUGAUGGCAUGGAAGCUGCACAGUACUGAGAAUGAGGAGUUUGAGAAAUUCUAUGGAGAAAUGGAAAUCUAACUGAUAUAAAAGAGUCUCGUAAGGAGGAGGCCAAAAGACUCUCACAUUAUUCAUGGCAAGUGAGGCAUAAAAUGAGGGAGAUAGAUGCUUGCUGAAGGUAUUGGCGGCUGUUGAGGACAAUGUCUUGCACAAGUUCCACAUGAAAGGAUUCUCUGUAGAUGUUGAGAAGACAGUGUUUAUGAAUGAUACUGAGUUGAUUUUUAUCAAGCAAUAAAGCCUGAGAAAAUGGCAGGCCCUUCUCAAGGCUUAUUCAAGAGACUGAUUUUACGGGCCAUGCAGAAAAAAUAAAUGUAUGAAAAUUGACUGUUAACCAUAUUGUGACAUGGAAUGGACUGUCAGUCCCUUGAAUUAGUCCCUCAGUGUUUAUUUGUUACAGGUACUGCAGAUGGACAGUGAGUUGGGCCUAGAAUUGAAUGGGGGACAGUGUAGAGAUUUUUAUUUGUACAAGUACAUUAAAUACAUAAUUCUACACAUCACUUUCAAAAUUGUCCUGUCUGUGAUUCCUACUUCCGUUCUUUUCUGUGUAUUUUUAAAAAUGAUGUUACAAUGGUCCUCCUUUUUUUAAAGGGGCCAUCCCUAUUUCCUCUUCCUCUCACCCCUGGUGAAAAAACAAGAGAAAGAAAGACCCUUUCUAACAAACAUAGCAAACAACACAUCCACAUAGUGACCAUGUCAAAAAAUCCAUCUCCCUUUCUGUGCUUUAUGUCCAUCACCUUUGUCAGGAGGUAGGUGACAUGCAUCAUACCUUCCAGGGUUAGGCCCCCCCUGGAUACUGAAAGUUCAUUUCUGAGUGCAUCUUCUGGGCCCAUCUCAGGCCUCGACUGUCCCCUUCUGAAUGCUGUGGGCUGUGUUGCCUUGUCUCUCCUUGGGACUUCUAAGAUCCAAACCUUGAAACAUUGUCAGGGAAAACUGUAGCUGGCUGCUCGACACAGCCUUUCAGGCUGGUGUUGCCCUGGGAGAUGGUGGCAUUGGCUUUGCUGACUGGGGGCAGAUUCCUUUUGCGUAUGAGCCCCUUUCUGUUGCCUGUAGGCUUCUGGCUGAUGUCUUGUGCAGUUACAAGGUGGAAGAAGUUAACUGUAGUUUCUCAUAUUUAUUGAUCAUUAUUUGAUCUAGUGUGAACUAAAGAGUUUUGCAGGAGUUAUGUGUGUUUUGCUGGGUGAUCUGAUUCCCAUUCAGGUAGCCCAUCUUGUCAGGAAGACUUGGAUUUUGUUUGAGAAAUUACAUAGUGAUUUUAAACAAACAUGUUCAAAGAAUCAUCUUUUCAACAUACACAUUCUGGUAAAUGCGUUGCAGACUAUCUAAAGGGCAUUGGAGAAUUUGCAUGGUG